UUCUUCCUUCUUUGAUUUUACGAGACCGGUAACCAAAUUCUUUUUUCUGCAACCAACUAGACGGUAAUAUUAAUAAUUUAUUUUAAUUAGUAAUUUUCCUGUUUUUGUUUCCUACUAAUAUUUUGUUUUGUUGUAGGAUGGAUUACUUGUAUGGACCACCACCUCCGUGCGUCGACACCGAGCCGAUCGAUGAAGAACUACUUUGGGGCGACCACAACCGACAUCGAGCUGGGGAAAUUUUUUAUAUUGAGGUUGAUACCAUUAAUAUAAUUGCAUAGUAACGAAUAUUAAUAAUGACAUAGUGUUAAAUAAUGACAUAGUCGCAUCACUAGGAGCUGGGUUCUCAGUCACAGGAGUGGGGACAACAGACUAUUCAGUUCCGGCUGUGAAGACAUCAGCCUCCCCCGUUACAGCAAUGGGUCCCCAGAUGCCUCAUGGCGGAUCCAGCACCUCACGCACACAUUGGGCCCCACAUAUACAACACUCAGACACUUAGUUCGAAACGAUGACGCUCGGGGAUCAGAUAGUAAGAUAGGGCUAGGAUGAUAUAACAUUUGUAUUGUAUAGCUAUUUAAAAUUUCUCUCCGUUUUCACCCAUUAGAUCUAGGAUAUAAUUUGUAGACAACUCAAAUUUGUAAGAGUUUUCUUGAUCGAAUCCCGAAGUCAAUUCGGCGACACCAGAUUCGAACUGAUCACUAAAACGAGCGAAAUAUAAAGGAAUUGAUGCAUUGGUAUAUAUAAUAUGUAAAAUGGAAGCUGCG
rnacentral:lncRNA from 1 species